rnacentral:rRNA from 1 species
AUGACCCGGGACCGCAUCCAACCUUCAACCACAAUGCCUCUUGUUGCCAUCCUAUUCAUACUUCUCAUCUCCGCCUUCCACACCCCAUGUUCUGCAGCAAGAAGCACGAUUUUAGCCGGUGAUCGCCUCACCGGCGAUGACAGGCUCGUCUCUCGCAAUGGCAAGUUCGUGCUCGGCUUCUUCCAACCAGGCAGUGAGUACUCCUCCCAACAGACUCCCGCUCACUGGUACAUAGGCUUAUGGUUUGGUAAGAUACCCAAGUUAACCCCAGUAUGGGUUGCAAAUAGGGACAGACCAAUUGUAAACCUUGAAAUGUCGGAGCUCACGAUCUCCGAUGAUGGUAACCUUGUCAUCUUAAAUAAAGACACCAAAUCGACAAUUUGGUCGACCCAUGCUAAUAUCACAGCCAAGAACACUACAGUUGUGCUCAUGGACAAUGGGAACCUCAUCUUAGGAGAUGCAUCUAACUCAUCCAACGUCAUAUGGCAGAGCUUUGAUUACCCUAUUGAUGGUCUGCUCCCUGGUGCAAAGCAAGGCGUGGAUAAGGUCACCGGUUUGAUCCGUCACCUUGUUUCCAAGAAGAGCUUGAUUGAUCCAGCUCCUGGCCGUUAUUGUGUGGAAUUAGAUACAACUGGUCCUGGCCAAUUCCUCUACAAACUAUGCAACUCGUCCAUAGUAUAUUACUCUAGUGGGGAAUGGAAUGGUCAUUACUUCAACUCGAUGCCAGAAAUGAAUGGAGCCAAUCUUUUUACAUUUAAAUUUGUCAACAAUGACAAAGAGGAGUAUUUCAUAAAAAAUGUUACAGAUGACAAGCUGAUAUCUGUUAGCCUUUUGGACAUUACUGGACAGGAAAAGCAACUCAUCUGGGUUGAAAGUUCACAAGAUUGGGUGACGGUCUUCACCCAGCCUAAAGAUCAAUGUGAUGUCUAUGCUACAUGUGGACCAUUCACAAUCUGCAACAGCAACACAGCCCAAGUGUGUGAUUGCUUGAAGGGCUUCUCAAUAAGGUCACCUAAGGAUUGGAAGGUAGUGGACCGAUCUGGCGGGUGCAUAAGAAAUGUGCCACUGGACUGCGGUGCCAGGAAUCAAAGCAGAAAUGCAACAACUGACAAGUUCUACCCCAUGACAAAGGUCAAACUGCCUGCAAUGCCCAUAGUUAUAGAAGCUGUUGGGAGCAUAGACCAUUGUGCACAAGCUUGCCUAGAUAAUUGCUCUUGCAUUGCAUAUUCCUACAGCAACAGAUGCUCCCUCUGGUAUGAUGACUUGCUUAACAUCAAACAAGGUGAUAUUGGAACUACUAGAAAUGAAGAGGUUCUCUACUUACGCAUCUCUGCCAAGGAUGCAGAAAGUUGGAGAAAUACAAAGAGAGGGAAGGGGGUUAUUUGGGCUACUACUGCUGCAAGUGCCGUUGCUUUGGUUUUGUUGGCAGUUGUCAUGUGGUUUCUGCUGAUAUGGAGGAGCAAAAGGAAGCACACUACCGGCAUGUACAAUAAUGCACAAGGUGGCAAUGGAAUUGUAGCUUUCAGAUACAUUGAUCUGCAACAUGCAACCAAAAAUUUCUCAGAGAAGCUAGGGGGAGGGAGCUUUGGAUCUGUAUUCAAGGGGUUACUAACUGACUCUACAGCUAUUGCGGUGAAAAGGCUUGAUGGUGUCCGUCAGGGAGAGAAGGAAUUCAGAGCCGAAGUGAGUUCAAUUGGAAUCAUCCAACACAUCAAUUUGGUUAAACUAAUUGGCUUUUGCUGCAAGGGCAGUAUGAGACUGCUUGUGUAUGAAUACAUGCCAAAUCUUUCCCUCGAUGUACAUCUCUUCCGCAGCAAUACAAAGUUACUAAGCUGGAGUGUCCGUUACCAAAUAGCCCUUGGAAUUGCAAGAGGAUUAGCAUACUUGCAUGAUAGUUGCAGGGAUUGUAUCAUACACUGUGAUAUCAAGCCACAGAACAUACUUCUUGACACCUCAUUUGUACCUAAAGUUGCAGAAUUUGGUAUGGCCAAAUUUCUAGGGAGGGAUUUUAGCAGCGUUUUGACUACAUUUAGAGGAACUAUAGGCUAUCUUGCACCUGAAUGGAUCAGUGGAGUGGCCAUUACACCAAAAGUGGAUGUCUACAGCUACGGUGUGAUGUUGCUUGAAAUAGUAUCAGGUCGUAGCAACAAUACAUGUAAGGAGAAUAGCAGCACUGGUGAUCAUUCGUCAUAUUUCCCGGUUCAAGUUGCAAGGAAACUUCCUAGCGGGGGACGUUGCGGGCUUAUUGGAUGA